ACCUUCACUAUUCCCUUAGUGAGCCCGUUUGCGCCUGAAUUGUUCCUUUUUUUUGUUCGAUGAAAACUCACAUAUAUUGAGCCUAAGCCUGUUUUAGCCUGCUUUUGUCCCUUGAAAACAUGUGAAUGCACUAGGUUAUGACGAGAUGAGAAAUGAGUACUCCUAUCAUGUUAGUGUGUUGAGUGAUGAUUCAUUGAUUUAUUGGGGAUAUAUAUUGUUGAACAGAAAAAAGAAAAGAAAAAAAAAUAGGAA
rnacentral:lncRNA from 1 species